CCCUUAGAUGUUCUGGGCCGCACGCGUGCUACACUGAGUGGAUCAGCGGGUCAGGUUGCGCGAAAGCGUUUCCUAAUCUUUAAAUCCGCUCGUGAUGGGGAUUGACGGUUGCAAUUUUCUGUCAUGAACGAGGAAUACCUUGUAAGCGCGGGUCAUCAUCCCGCGCUGAAUACGUCCCUGCCCUUUGUACACACCGCCCGUCGCUACUACCGAUUGAAUGGCUUAGUGAGGUCUUCGGACUGGACUUCGGGGAGCCGGCAACGGCACCCUGUCGCUGGGAAGUUGAUCAAACUUGGUCAUUUAGAGGAAGUAAAAGUCGUAACA
rnacentral:rRNA from 1 species